CCGGGGCCACUCUGCCCGGUGGGGUGACAUCGGUGGGGUGACGAUGUCGCCAGUGCAGGCAUGAGUCCACGGCCAGGACUCACCGGGAGCAGCGUGUGGCCAGAGCCCAGCACACCUGGUGGACACCCCUCAAAGUGGGCACAGAUGUGGAGCCGCUCCCAUUCACUGAUUCAUUCAUUGCACGGCAGCUAUCGUGCAGCACAGGGCACCCUACCCUCCAGGCUGUGGGGCGGUCACGGGGCAAACCCACCGUCACCUCAUUACGCGUUUGCAUCCAAUAACACAUCAGAGCGUUCGCCGGACCCUUGUGGACGGCUUCUGCGCAUUGUGGGCGUUGCCCUGGCUCCCGUGGACGGACCGGUGCUCAGUGCAGCCUAAUGUUAAAGCCACUGUUUGUGGACCAGGCAUAGCCCGUGGGCCAAGUGCUAGUCUUCAUCCCACCCUGCAGAAGAAGAGACGGAGGGUCAGAGAGAUGCCCUGCUCUGCCCACCGAAUCUCCCAAGCCUGUGAGGGCCCGUGAGGCCGAGGAGGAAACCCCAGCUCCGGCGGGGCCUGGCCGGGGAGACGGCUGCCUCAGCCUGGCCCGCCGAGCGCCUGGCGCCCCGGAGGAAACACCCGGGUCAGUCGUCUCUGCCUGUUCCCACAGCAAGUAUCUGUCUUCGGACCGUUUCACGAAUGUGAUGACCUCAGGGUCCUCGUAGAAGCGGAUCCUACGGGAUCCUCCGCUCCUCCCACUGAGCACGACGCCCGCCAGGUUCAUCCAUGUCCUGGCAGGAGCCGGGAUCUCCCUCCUUUUGAGUCUGAGUGACGGUCCACGGUGUAGACGGACCACACGUCUUAAUCCA